rnacentral:rRNA from 1 species
CCUACGGGAGGCUGCAGUGGGGAAUUAUUCACAAUGGGCGCAAGCCUGAUGGUGCGACGCCGCGUGGGGGAGGAAGGUCUUCGGAUUGUAAACCCCUGUCAUUAAGGAGCAAAAACUGGGUUCAUAGCCCAGCUUGAGUUAACUUAAAGAGGAAGUAGUGGCAAACUCUGUGCCAGCAGCCGCGGUAAUACAGAGACUACGAGCGUUACUCGGAUUCACUGGGCGUAAAGGGUGCGUAGGCGGGUGUGUGUGUUAAAUGUGAAAUCCUGGGGCUCAACCCCAGAACUGCAUUUAAAACUACACAUCUAGAGUUUUAGAGAGGUAAGCGGAAUUCUUAGUGGAGCAGUGAAAUGCAUAGAUAUUAAGAGGAACACCAAUUGCGAAGGCAGCUUACUGGAUAAAAACUGACGCUGAGGCACGAAAGCGUGGGGAGCAAACGGGAUUAGAUACCCCGGUAGUC